rnacentral:lncRNA from 1 species
CCCAGCUUUUGAGAAAGCAAACGCCUCUUCGAUUUCUGAGAUCGACCCUCGUGGUCUCUGAGCAGCCCAGCUUUUGAGAAAGCAAACGCCUCUUCGAUUUCUGAAGCUUCGUCGAGUGCAGAUUUUUAUAGAGGCUAACAUUAAGUUCCAAAGCACACUUGAAUAUCCACCUGUAGAAGCUCCAUUCUUGCACAUCUAAGAACUUGAUUUGUCCGACCUCUUCUCUCUUCUACACCUUUGAAAAUG